AUUUAGAUAAAAUUUUAAAUUUAUAUUAAUUAUAGCACAUGUUCAGUUUGCAGUAAAUUAAUUAUCUAAUAACCCUUUACUUUAAUCUAAUAAUCAAAUAUGCCCAUAAUUUUCAAUUGCAGUCGAUCAAACCUUUCCAACUCAAAACUUUAGCUUAAAUCAAUCCAAAUAAUUUCUCUUUCUUUUCCAAAAUUUUGGCUUAAAUCAAUCCAAAAAUUUUUGAUAAUUUCUCUCUUA
rnacentral:misc_RNA from 1 species